rnacentral:tRNA from 1 species
UGCGGGUGUGGUGGAAUGGUAGACACACACGCUUGAGGGGCGUGUUGCCUUGUGCAGUACGAGUUCAAGUCUCGUCAUCCGCAU